rnacentral:rRNA from 1 species
CAUCGCCACGGUAAUACAGAGGGUGCGAGCGUUAAUCGGAUUUACUGGGCGUAAAGCGUGCGUAGGCGGCUUCUUAAGUCGGAUGUGAAAUCCCUGAGCUUAACUUAGGAAUUGCAUUCGAUACUGGGAAGCUAGAGUAUGGGAGAGGAUGGUAGAAUUCCAGGUGUAGCGGUGAAAUGCGUAGAGAUCUGGAGGAAUACCGAUGGCGAAGGCAGCCAUCUGGCCUAAUACUGACGCUGAGGUACGAAAGCAUGGGGAGCAAACAGGAUUAGAUACCCCUGUAGUCCCUGUCUCUUAUACA